AAGUCGUAACAAGGUUUCCGUAGGUGAACCUGCGGAAGGAUCAUUAACACGUAUCCAAACGUUAAAACAACCCUGUGAAUAUUGAAUCUCAGUUCCCCCAGGGCAGAAAAAUGGGCUUCCUCUAGUAAAUCAUUGUCUUAACAAGGUUUUGAGUUAGAGGAUGGCGCACGAGUAGCACCUGUAUUGGGUCGAGCGUUUACAACUAUCCACUCCUGGUGCCCCCAAGCAACCAUCAAUCUGAAAGUGUUUGGUGAAUUGUGUAAGGAUGACGCAGUCACGAUCGUUGGAGGCCCACACGGCCGACGACCGGGUCACUGGGCGCAAGCCCCCCUAUAACAAACGCUGCCAAUCGCGGCCGCGAUAAUACGCAGUCGACAAAAAACCGAACAACUGUUAACAAUGGAUAUCUUGGUUCUC
rnacentral:misc_RNA from 1 species